UACGUAGGGGGCAAGCGUUGUCCGGAUUCAUUGGGCGUAAAGAGCGUGUAGGCGGCCAGGUAGGUCGGUUGUGAAAACUGGAGGCUCAACCUUCAGAGGUCGACCGAAACCAUCUGGCUAGAGUCCGGGAGAGGAGAGUGGAAUUCCUGGUGUAGCGGUGAAAUGCGCAGAUAUCUGGAGGAACACCGGUGGCGAAGGCGGCAUUCUGGACCGACAUUGACGCUGAGGAGCGAAAGCCAGGGGAGCAAACGGG
rnacentral:rRNA from 1 species